ensembl:processed_transcript
GGAGGGGAAAUGGCUGCCGAAAACAAGCCGGAAGGACUGAAGAAAAUCCGUAAUCCGGAUCGAAUGUACAGAUCAGCUGUGUGUUAUUCGGCCCAUGCUCCUCCUAAGAGUGUCAGUGAUGACACAGAGACGAACAAUGAACAUGGACAUUUGAAAAUAUACCUGCCCAAAAAGCUGCUUGAAUGUCUACCAAAAUGCUCCACGUUGCCAAAGGAGAGACACAGGUGGAACACCAAUGAGGUAAGGGCUUGCAGGACAUGGAAACGGGCACAGAGAGUUAAUUAGGCAAGAAGGUAAGGUGGCCAUGAUGGGCAAACCCCAUACAUACACCUCCAGCUGCUCUAACGCUCACACACACACACAUACACACAGCUAAUGGGAACGAUACUUGACCUUCAGAGCUGGCAAACACUACCUAUGCUGGCCAACCAGCAAGUUUUAUGUCCAUGGUACACUCAAACACACACUCUUAUUUUUUAUUUUUUUGAGGGCUAGAAUAAUAUCUAGAAUUGUUUGUACAGUAUAUACAUUGUAAAAUAAAUCUGUAAAUCAGCUGUUUUAAUUGAUUUAUUUAUCUUUUAUGCUUUUGAAUUGCAUUAUGGGAUCUUUCUUCUGAGAACCUUUAACCUUAAAA